rnacentral:rRNA from 1 species
GGGUGAGUAAUGCCUAGGAAUCUGCCUGGUAGUGGGGGAUAACGUCCGGAAACGGGCGCUAAUACCGCAUACGUCCUGAGGGAGAAAGUGGGGGAUCUUCGGACCUCACGCUAUCAGAUGAGCCUAGGUCGGAUUAGCUAGUUGGUGGGGUAAAGGCCUACCAAGGCGACGAUCCGUAACUGGUCUGAGAGGAUGAUCAGUCACACUGGAACUGAGACACGGUCCAGACUCCUACGGGAGGCAGCAGUGGGGAAUAUUGGACAAUGGGCGAAAGCCUGAUCCAGCCAUGCCGCGUGUGUGAAGAAGGUCUUCGGAUUGUAAAGCACUUUAAGUUGGGAGGAAGGGCAGUAAGUUAAUACCUUGCUGUUUUGACGUUACCAACAGAAUAAGCACCGGCUAACUUCGUGCCAGCAGCCGCGGUAAUACGAAGGGUGCAAGCGUUAAUCGGAAUUACUGGGCGUAAAGCGCGCGUAGGUGGUUCAGCAAGUUGGAUGUGAAAUCCCCGGGCUCAACCUGGGAACUGCAUCCAAAACUACUGAGCUAGAGUACGGUAGAGGGUGGUGGAAUUUCCU